rnacentral:rRNA from 1 species
CGGCGGCCUAGUGGCGGACGGGUGAGUAACGCGGUGGGCCAAANUCUGCCCCGUACCGGGGGAUAACACCUGGAAACAGGUGCUAACACCGCAUGACAGGGCGGGGGCGCAUGCCCCGGCCUUGAAAACUCCGGUGGUACGGGAUGAGCCCGCGUCCGAUUAGCCAGUUGGCGGGGUAACGGCCCACCAAAGCGACGAUCGGUAGCCGGCCUGAGAGGGUGGACGGCCACAUUGGGACUGAGACACGGCCCAAACUCCUACGGGAGGCAGCAG